rnacentral:tRNA from 1 species
AAGGAUUUAGGUUAAGUUAAACCUUUAACCUUCAAAGUUAAUAAUAGAAAUAUCUAAGCCUUA